rnacentral:sRNA from 1 species
GCUGGGUGCAGUGGUGCACACCUGUAAUCCCAGUGGCUCAGGAGGCUGAGGCAGGAGGAUCACAAGUUCAAAGCUACCCUCCGCACCUCAGGUGAGGUGCUAAGCAACUCAGUGAGACUCUGUCUCUA